GACGAACGCUGGCGGCGUGCUUAACACAUGCAAGUCGAACGGAAAGGCCCUGCUUUUGUGGGGUGCUCGAGUGGCGAACGGGUGCGUAACACGUGAGUAACCUGCCCUUGACUUUGGGAUAACUUCAGGAAACUGGGGCUAAUACCGGAUAGGAGCUCCUGCUGCAUGGUGGGGGUUGGAAAGUUUCGGCGGUUGGGGAUGGACUCGCGGCUUAUCAGCUUGUUGGUGGGGUAGUGGCUUACCAAGGCUUUGACGGGUAGCCGGCAUGGGAGGGUGACCGGCCACAUUGGGACUGAGAGACGGCCCAGACUCCUACGGGAGGCAGCAGUGGGAAAUAUUGCACAAUGAGCGGAAGCCUGAUGCAGCAACGCCGCGUGCGGGAUGACGGCCUUCGGGUUGUAAACCGCUGUCGCCUGUGACGAAGCGUGAGUGACGGUAAUGGGUAAAGAAGCACCGGCUAACUACGUG
rnacentral:rRNA from 1 species